GUUCCAUCGGCCCCGCCCCCAGCGACUGCUGCUCCGGAUUUGUUGUUGACAUCGCCAAAAAUGUUCCAAGCGACAGAAAAGCGGAUUAUUUGAAAGUUUUUCAGUUCAACUAAUUAAUUAACUUUACCUGCGGGGCGCGCGACAACGGCAGCAGCUUUAACAUUGCUGUAUGUUGGUGACCACAAUGCAGGAGCAGAGUGAACCAGGACUGCAAACCUGCUCCAUCUUCUCGUCUCUGGAGAUUUCCAUUUACAAAAUGUCUGUGAAGGUUCUCAGUCAUCCAGGUCAUCGUAGUCAAAGGAGUUUGCAAAGAAAGGCGUCUGGACUUCUUUAAGUUGCUUGAAGACGUUUCACCUCUCAUCCGAGAAGCUUCUCCUCAGUGACAACAACACCUACGAAGCUUUAAAACGAGACCCCACAAGCAGCUACAAAAAGAAAGUUAUAGCUUGCCUUCAAGACCUUGAAAAGGACAAAAUCAUUGACCGCCUCACAUAUCACCGCCUUUAUCCAGGGGAUGCCAUACCCUGCAUUUAUGGACUUCCUAAGAUCCACAAGGAAGGGGUCCCACUCAGACCCAUAGUCAGUAGCAUAAACUCAGCCACUUAUAACAUUGCAAAACACCUUGCUACCAUCCUUGCACCUCUCGUGGGGAACACCCACACCCACAUCAAGAACUCCACUGACUUCACCGACAAGGUCCAGAAACUUACCCUGGAUCCAGAUGAAACCAUGGUGUCCUUUGAUGUAGUCUCUCUCUUCACUUGCAUACCCACCACGGAAGCAGUGGAGACUGUCAGAAAACGACUACAAGAAGACAGCUCCUUGGAAGACAGGACCAACUUCACACCCGAUCAGAUCUGCACACUGUUAGACCUCUGCCUUACCACAACAUACUUCAAAUACAACGAAGGCUUCUACAGACAAAAACAUGGCUGUGCCAUGGGCUCCCCUGUGUCACCUAUUGUAGCCAACCUUUACAUGGAGGAAGUUGAAAGAAAGGCUCUUGGCUCUUUCAAAGGAGGAGCACCCAGCCACUGGUACAGAUAUGUAGAUGACACCUGGGUCAAAAUCAAGACACAAGAAGUGGAAUCCUUCACUGCGCACUUUAACGCCAUGGAUAAAAACAUCAAGUUCACCAGGGAAGACACAAAGGAUAACUGUUUGCCUUUCCUGGACUGCGCUGUGCACAUUGAAGAGAAUGGCAACCUCAACAUUGAAGUUUACCGGAAGCCCACACACACGGACCAGUACCUCCUCUUUGACUCCCAUCACCCUCUGGAACACAAACUUGGAGUAAUUAGGACCCUACACCACCGGGCAGAACUUGUUCCCUCUAAGCCUGAAGAGAAAAAGAAGGAACACACACAUGUAAAGGAAGCACUGAAAACAUGUGGUUAUCCUAACUGGGCGUUCAUAAAGUCAGCAAAGAGGCACAGAAAAGAAGAUCAGACACCAGCGAGGGAGGAUAAGAAAGACAGACGCAACAACAUUGUCAUCCCCUAUGUAGCCGGUGUAUCAGAGAAACUCAGGAGAGUUUUCUCCAAGCAUGACAUCCCAGUGUACUUCAGACCAAGCAACACACUCAGACACAAACUGGUUCACCCGAAAGACAAAACUCCAAAACACAGACUGAACAACGUGGUGUAUGCGGUACAGUGCAGAGAGGAAUGCCCGGACGUCUACAUUGGAGAGACCAAACAGCCACUUCACAAGCGUAUGGCACAACAUAGAAGAGCCACCUCCACAGGACAAGACUCAGCAGUCCAUCUGCAUCUUAAGGAUAAAGGUCACUCUUUCGAGGAUGCCAAUGUUCACAUUUUGGACAGGGAGGACAGAUGGUUUGAAAGAAGAGUGAAAGAGGCCAUCUAUGUCCACUGUGAGCGACCAUCUUUGAACAGAGGCGGUGGUUUACGACACCAACUCUCUGCCAUCUAUAAUCCAGUUUUGAGUUCCCUCCCCAGACGCCUUAACGCCCACUCACAUCCUGGGCCAUCUGACCUCAGGAAUUCACAUGACAAGGUGGGGCCAGGUUUCACAAUGGGCUCACCCGAAACCCUGGCUGAUUAGGUCCCACACCCGCUUUCACACCUUGGCGCAUGUGAUUAGAGGAUCACCAGGGGGUCCUUUGUCCCUCCUUGGGGGGAUACUCCCACUGGGUUUAAAUCUGGGACUCUCGGCCAUUUGACCUUAGAACUGAAGAAGCUUCUCGGAUGAGAGGUGAAACGUCUUCAAGCAACUUAAAGAAGUCCAGACGCCUUUCUUUGCAAACUCCUUUGACUUCCAUUUACAAAGCACCAACAACUCAAAGGAGCUGCCCUCAGAUUCAGACCUCAGCACCACCCAGUGAAAGCAGACAGAUCAUUCAACAUGUUCACGUUAACUCCAAAAUUAACUGAUGAAAGCUGCAGCUGUUUUAUUGAUAAAGUCAAAAGGAUUAAUCACCCCUGUCACUGUCACUAUAUAUCAGCAGUCUGGUGUUUCAGAAAGCUGCUAUCUGAGACCUGUAGAGGUUCUGUUUUAAACACUGAAUGCACUCAGCCACAUGAAGAGCACAUGAGAUUUUCCCUGACACACUUAAAUAAAACCUGAUGAAGGUUAACUAAAAAC
ensembl:lncRNA